GAUGAACGCUGGCGGCAUGCCUAACACAUGCAAGUCGAUCGGUAAGGCUCUUCGGAGUACACGAGAGGCGGACGGCUGAGUAACGCGUAGGAACACACCCUGCAGUGAGGGAUAAGACACCGAAAGGUGUUCUAAUACCGCAUACGGUCUUCGGAUUAAAGCAUUUAUGCGCUGAAGGAGUGGCCUGCGUCAUAUUAGAUAGUUGGUGAGGUAAUGGCUCACCAAGUCGAUGAUGUGUAGCUGGUCUGAGAGGAUGAUCAGCCAGACUGGAACUGAGACACGGUCCAGACUCCUACGGGAGGCAGCAGUGAGGAAUAUUUCACAAAGAGCGAAAGCUUGAUGGAGCAAUGCCGCGUGCAGGAUGAAGGCCCUCGGGUUGUAAACUGCUUUUAUAAGAGAAGAUUAUGACGGUAACUUAUGAAUAAGGGACGGCUAACUACGUG
rnacentral:rRNA from 1 species